rnacentral:misc_RNA from 1 species
ACGAGUAACUGAACAGGUUGUAGCUGGUCCUCCGGGGCAUGUGCACGCCUGGCUCAUCCACUCUUCAACCUCUGUGCACUUACUGUAGGUCGGUGGAAAGGCAAGUCCUUUUAGUGAUUUGCUUGGAAGCCUUCCUAUGUUUUAUUACAAACGCUUCAGUUUAAGAAUGUAUCUCUGCGUAUAACGCAUCUAUAUA